UUUCUUUUCUUGCUGGUUGAACGAAGAAAAGUACAACUUCAAUUCUUCCAUCAGUAGCCAAUUGUUUAGAAGUGUUUUUGACUUUUUCCCUAGCAUUCUUGCCCUCUCUUUCCCGUUGUUUCUGCUUCGUUUUCUUUUUGCUGCAGAAGAAGCAUGUUUGCAUAUUUCAUUUUGUUUUCAUGUUCAGUUCUACUUUUUCUCCUUCGUCCCUCCCUCUCUGUUUCCAUUCCUUUGUUUCUCUUUUGUUUUCUUCCUGGUUCGGACAAACAAAAGUACCAACAGAUCUGCUCCAACACCUGGUCAAUAAUUUUUCCCCAAAUUAUGGCUGCUCAUCCAUAUCCCAAUCGUGGUAUUGUUCCACAAAGAGUCAAUUGUGGCUGCCCAUGCAUAUCCCAACCAUGCGAUUAUUCCACAAAGAGUCAGGUAUGAGGAACACAAACACUGCUCACAAAAAAAAUCAACGGUUCUACCUCCUUUUGCUCUGCAACAUUUCCAAGUAAAGUUUUAAGUUCCCUUGCGAGUAUCAGGUCCACAGAUUGGGUUUAGUUACGAUUUAAAAGAGUCGGUGCUAAAGAGGCUUUUGUUUGGGGUUGGCAGAUUCGUAUUAAGGAAUUGCUUCAAUUCAAGGUCAUUCCUUCUAUUCCUUCACUACAUCUUACAAUUUUCGUGCUUAAGUUUUGCUCUGCUUGACUACACUCUAGAGAAUAUCAUAACUGAAUCUCUAUGCUUAUACCAUUUUUCUUUCUCAGAUUUUGCCUUUUACUAUUUAAUCACUCUAAUUUGUUGAAUAUGACGCUCUUAAACAAUUAAUCUCAUGUUUGUAUCUCUUGGUCAGCUGCUUGUAUCUAACAGUUUGGAUUUCAUAUAUAUAGAAGUUAGCUUUACUCUCUUCAUUAGCUAUCAUUGUGCCUAAGUUUUGUUAUAUUUCGUCUAUUACUCAUAAUUUUUUCAGUUGUAGGUUCAUUUGGUCUCACUUAUUAACUGAACGUAUGCUUUAUAUGAUUAUGGUGAGGCUGGCUAAUCAAUAGAUUAAUAUGUAUUAGAAGCAAACGAGUAUGAUCAAGGAAGAUCACCUACUUGCUGCAAUCAAAGUUGCUGCUUCUAUCAGGGGACACAACCUAUCACUGCAUGGUUUUGUAAAGAAAGAGCAAUUGGAGGAUGCCCUCACUCACAUGGACCUUCUGAUCAUUCCUGUUGGAGUUCAUAGGAAACUAGCAAUGACUAGAGAUAACCUUUUUAAUAUCAAUCCUGACAUUGUUAGGGCUCUAUGAAUGAAUUUCAAAGUGCUGUACGGAAGCUAUUGUCUGCAUGGUGCCAUUUGGGGCUGCAAUGAACGUCACAUUUGUAAAGGAGUAGAACGAAAAUACCAUAAUAAGUGCCGAUUUGACAGUUAUCAGGAAAGAGUUCAAGUAGCAGGCAUCCAGGGCAUUUUUGGAACAAGGAGAUACAAGUCCUUUUUGGUAAUUCGCAGAGCGCAGCAUUAAAAGGAGGAACGAAGGGCUGAAGUGGGGGUCUUCUUCUUCCUCUCCGGAAGGGGAGCCGCCGCACAUUGGAGAGCUUUUCGUCUUGUAGCUUAGCCGUAGUUGUUGACUUUUCUUCUUAGUUUUUGUUAGCUAGUUUCUUUCUUACGUAUGAAGAUUGCUGAGAAGCUUAGCUUUUGUUUUUGAUUCUGCCUAUUCAAUUUCUCUUCUCCGAAUGUCGGACAAAAGCAAACACACUCAGUGGACUCUCGUAGCUUCCUUUCUUUAUUGAA